rnacentral:tRNA from 1 species
GAGGAUGUAAUUUAGCCUGGUUCAAAAUGAUAACUUGUCACGUUAUUUAUCGUGGGUUCAAAUCCCAUCAUUCUCG